CCUACGGGAGGCAGCAGUGAGGAAUAUUGGUCAAUGGGCGUAAGCCUGAACCAGCCAAGUCGCGUGAGGGAUGAAGGUUCUAUGGAUCGUAAACCUCUUUUAUCAGGGAAUAAAGUGCGGGACGUGUCCCGUUUUGGAUGUACCUUGUGAAUAAGGAUCGGCUAACUCCGUGCCAGCCGCCGCGGUAAUACGGAGGAUCCGAGCGUUAUCCGGAUUUAUUGGGUUUAAAGGGUGCGUAGGCGGCCGUGAAGGCAAGGGGGAAAGUCUGUGGCUCAACAGGAGAAGUGCCGUUGAAACUGGGAGGCUUGAGUGUGUGUGAGGUAGGCGGAAUGCGUGGUGUAGCGGUGAAAUGCAUAGAUAUCACGCAGAACCCCGAUUGCGAAGGCAGCAUGCC
rnacentral:rRNA from 1 species